AUGAACGCUGGCGGCGUGCCUAAUACAUGCCAGUCGAGCGCACGGACGAGAAGCUUGCUUCUCUGAUGUUAGCGGCGGACGGGUGAGUAAUACGUGGAUAACCUUCCUAUAAGACUGGGAUAACUUCGGGAAACCGGAGCUAAUACCGGAUAAUAUUUUGAACCGCAUGGUUCAAAAGUGAAAGACGGUCUUGCUGUCACUUAUAGAUGGAUCCGCGCUGCAUUAGCUAGUUGGUAAGGUAACGGCUUACCAAGGCAACGAUGCAUAGCCGACCUGAGAGGGUGAUCGGCCACACUGGAACUGAGACACGGUCCAGACUCCUACGGGAGGCAGCAGUAGGGAAUCUUCCGCAAUGGGCGAAAGCCUGACGGAGCAACGCCGCGUGAGUGAUGAAGGUCUUCGGAUCGUAAAACUCUGUUAUUAGGGAAGAACAUAUGUGUAAGUAACUGUGCACAUCUUGACGGUACCUAAUCAGAAAGCCACGGCUAACUACGU
rnacentral:rRNA from 1 species